AUUGAACGCUGGCGGCAUGCCUUACACAUGCAAGUCGAACGGUAACGGGCCUUCGGGUGCCGACGAGUGGCGAACGGGUGAGUAAUGUAUCGGAACGUACCUUUCAGUGGGGGAUAACGUAGCGAAAGUUACGCUGAUACCGCAUAUUCUGUGAGCAGGAAAGCAGGGGAUCGCAAGACUUUGCGCUGAUUGAGCGGCCGAUAUCAGAUUAGCUAGUUGGUGAGGUAAAGGCUCACCAAGGCGACGAUCUGUAGCGGGUCUGAGAGGAUGAUCCGCCACACUGGUACUGGGACACGGUCCAGACUCCUACGGGAGGCAGCAGUGGGGAAUUUUGGACAAUGGGGGCAACCCUGAUCCAGCCAUGCCGCGGGAGUGAAGAAGGCCUUCGGGUUGUAAAGCUCUUUCGGCCGGGAAGAAAUCGUAUGGGUUAAUACCCUGUGCGGAUGACGGUACCGGCAUAAGAAGCACCGGCUAACUACGUGCCAGCCGCCGCCGUAACAC
rnacentral:rRNA from 1 species